rnacentral:rRNA from 1 species
AAAUCCCCGGGCUCAACCUGGGAACUGCAUUUGAAACUGGCAAGCUGGAGUCUCGUAGAGGGAGGUAGAAUUCCAGGUGUAGCGGUGAAAUGCGUAGAGAUCUGGAGGAAUACCGGUGGCGAAGGCGGCCUCCUGGACGAAGACUGACGCUCAGGUGCGAAAGCGUGGGGAGCAAACAGGAUUAGAUACCCUGGUAGUCCACGCUGUAAACGAUGUCGAUUUGGAGGUUGUGCCCUUGAGGCGUGGCUUCCGGAGCUAACGCGUUAAAUCGACCGCCUGGGGAGUACGGCCGCAAGGUUAAAACUCAAAUGAAUUGACGGGGGCCCGCACAAGCGGUGGAGCAUGUGGUUUAAUUCGAUGCAACGCGAAGAACCUUACCUGGUCUUGAACCAGAGAAUCCUGCCCGAUGCG